rnacentral:misc_RNA from 1 species
CUUGAGCUUACUGAGAAGGAGAUUGAACGAAUGGUGAUGGAAGCUUCUCGUGCAGAGUAUCUUGCCAAUGACAAGUUGAAGCUGCAGCUUGGUCACAAAGAAUCUUCUACUUCUGGUGCUGAACCAUCAUCUUCUGGAACUAGAUCAUCGGGCGGUGAAACGAAGGUGAGGGCACAGAGUUUGCAGGAUAAUGUUCUCAGCAGUAGUAUGCAGAUGGUUCUGUCGAUGGGAUUCAGCUAUCUGCAAGUGAUGGAGGCUUACAGCAUAUUCGGUGAUGAUGUGGAUUCAAUGGUUUGUUACCUCUUGGAAACUGGCAGUAGCAGGCGCAAAGG